CAUAUCACCGGCUCUCGUACGAUCACUGAAGUUAAGCAAUGUCAAACUUGAUCAGUACCUAGAUGGCUGACCGCUUGGGAAUACGAGAUGUUGUAAG